CGUGUCCAUUGGGUGACCAUAUGGACACACUUGAAGAUGAUACUUUGGAAAUGGUUCCAUCACAUGGAAAAAGGUAAUGGAAUGAAAUAUUACAUGAAGGUGAAGAUAACAAAGAGUCGUCUAUCGCAUUAGUCUUAUACCCAAAUACAAAAACGUGCGACUCAGGUGAGCGAUGUGGUCCAGGUGAGCGAUGUGGACCAACUCAAGGUUUAUUUCAUACUUCAACAAGAGGGUCAUUAUGAAAAGGUGAAGAUAACAAAGACUGAUCAAUGUCAUAUACUUUCAAAAACUUCAAACAUUUGUUGAAUAAAUGAAAUCAAGAUAAGCAUUAAUUGUGGCCUUUUUUUCACUCCAUCACUGGUAGCCCUAGAGGCUACCAGUGAUAGAGUAUUUUUUUUCAGAGAGACGUACGUGUCCAUUGGGUGACGAUAUGGACACACUUGAAGAUGAUACUUUGGAAAUGGUUCCAUCACAUGGAGAAAGGUAAUGGAAUGAAAUAUUAUAUGAAGGUGAAGAUAACAAAGUGUCGUCUAUCGCAUUAGUCCUAUACCCAAAUACAAAAGCGUGCGACUCAGGUGAGCGAUGUGGACCAACUCGAGGUUUACUUCAUACUUCAACAAGACGGUCAUUAUGAAAAGGUGAAGAUAACGAAGACUGAUCAAUGUCAUAUACUUUCAAAAACUUCAAACAUUUGUUGAAUAAAUGAAAUCAAGAUAAGCAUUAAUUGUGGCCUUUUUUUACUCCAUCACUGGUAGCCCUACAGGCUACCAAUGAUAGAGUUUGGUUUUUUUUUCAGAGAGACGUACGUAUCCAUUGGGUGACGAUAUGGACACACUUGAAGAUGAUACUUUGGAAAUGGUUCCAUCACAUGGAAAAAGGUAAUGGAAUGAAAUAUUACAUGAAGGUGAAGAUAACAAAGUGUCGUCUAUCGCAUUAGUCCUAUACCCAACUACAAAAACGUGCGACUCAGGUGAGCGAUGUGGUCCAGGUUAGCGAUGUGGACCAACUCAAGGUUUAUUUUAUACUUCAACAAGAGGGUCAUUAUGAAAAGGUGAAGAUAACGAAGACUGAUCAAUGUCAUAUACUUUCAAAAACUUCAAACAUUUGUUGAAUAAAUGAAAUCAAGAUAAGCAUUAAUUGUGGCCUUUUUUUACUCCAUCACUGGUAGCCCUAAAGGCUACCAGUGGUAGAGUAUUUUUUUGCAGAGAGACGUACAUGUACGUAUCCAUUGGUUGACGAUAUGGGCACACUUGAAAAUGAUACUUUGGAAAUGGUUCCAUCACAUGGAAAAAGAGAGACGUACGUGUCCAUUGGGUGACGAUAUGGACACACUUGAAGAUGAUACUUUGGAAAUGGUUCCAUCACAUGGAAAAAGCCCUAGAGGCUACCAGUGAUAGAGGUUUUCUUUCAGAGAGACGUACGUGUCCAUUGGGUGACGAUAUGGACACUGGAGAAUGAUUGGUGGAAGACAAUGAACUAUGGAUAUAUGUCUGGAGUACAUAGUGUUGGAAAAGAGGAUGAUGUAUUCUACAGUUGUAUUGAUUUAUUGUAUAUUGUUUAAUGUCCCUCUCGAGAAUAUUUCACUACUAUGGAGACGUCACAAUUGCCAGCGAAGCGCUGCCUUUGCUCGGCGCUUACGGACUGUGACAGAGGACCUCAGGUUUUGCGGUCUCAUCCGAAGGACUGCCCCAUUUAGUCGCCUCUUACGACAAAUUCUAACCCGGAUCCCCACGGUACUGAACAGUUGUAUAUUGACAGUUUUGUUUCUAGAGAGUUGUUAUAGAGAGUUGUGUUUGUAGACAGUUGUAUAUAUCUGGUUAUUGCUUUUACAUACAUGCGUUUUACUCGUAAAUAAAUACUGUAUAUACUUUUAUAUGAAUGUUAUUUAUGAUUUGACAAAUUCUAGUGUCAUUCUACAUGGUGAACUACAUGAAAGGUGAAGAUAACGAACAGUGAUCAAUCUCAUCAAUCCCAUAAGCAAUACACAAUAGAUAGGUGGGUAAACACAGACCCCUGGACACACCACAGGUGGGAUCAGGUGCCUAGGA